rnacentral:rRNA from 1 species
CCUACGGGAGGCAGCAGUGGGGGAUAUUGCACAAUGGGGGGAACCCUGAUGCAGCGACGCCGCGUGAGUGCAGGAGCAUUUCGGUAUGUAAAGCUCUAUCAGCAGGGAAGAAGAUGACGGUACCUGAUUAAGAAGCCCCGGCUAACUACGUGCCAGCAGCCGCGGUAAUACGUAGGGGGCAAGCGUUAUCCGGAUUUACUGGGUGUAAAGGGGGCGUAGACGGCAGCGCAAGUCUGAAGGGAAAUGCCGGGGAUUAACCCCGGGACUGCUUUUGAAACUGUGCAGCUAGAGUGCAGGAGGGGCAAGUGGAAUUCCUAGUGUAGCGGUGAAAUGCGUAGAUAUUAGGAGGAACACCAGUGGCGAAGGCGGCUUACUGGACUGUAACUGACGUUGAGGCUCGAAAGCGUGGGGAGCAAACAGGAUUAGAUACCCUUGUAGUC